rnacentral:rRNA from 1 species
AACGAACGCUGGCGGCAUGCCUAACACAUGCAAGUCGAACGAGACCUUCGGGUCUAGUGGCGCACGGGUGCGUAACGCGUGGGAACCUGCCCUUAGGUUCGGAAUAACUCCACGACAGGGGUGCUAAUACCGGAUAAUGUCUUCGGACCAAGGAUUUAUCGCCUUUGGAUGGGCCGGCGUUGGAUUAGCUAGUUGGUAGGGUAAAAGCCUACGAAGGCGACGAUCCAUAGCUGGUCUGAGAGAAUGAUCAGCCACACUGGGACUGAGACACGGCCCAGACUCCUACGGGAGGCAGCAGUGGGGAAUAUUGGACAAUGGGCGAAAGGCUGAUCCAGCAAUGCCGCGUGAGUGAUGAAGGCCUUAGGGUUGUAAAGCUCUUUUACCCGGGAUGAUAAUGACAGUACCGGGAGAAUAAGCUCCGGCUAACUCCGUG